AGUGAACGCUGGCGGUAGGCCUAACACAUGCAAGUCGAACGGCAGCACAGUAAGAGCUUGCUCUUACGGGUGGCGAGUGGCGGACGGGUGAGGAAUACAUCGGAAUCUACUUUUUCGUGGGGGAUAACGUAGGGAAACUUACGCUAAUACCGCAUACGACCUACUGGUGAAAGCAGGGGAUCUUCGGCCCUUGCGCGAUUGAAUGAGCCGAUGUCGGAUUAGCUAGUUGGCGGGGUAAAGGCCCACCAAGGCGACGAUCCGUAGCUGGUCUGAGAGGAUGAUCAGCCACACUGGAACUGAGACACGGUCCAGACUCCUACGGGAGGCAGCAGUGGGGAAUAGUGGACAAUGGGCGCAAGCCUGAUCCAGCCAUACCGCGUGGGUGAAGAAGGCCUUCGGGUUGUAAAACCCUUUUGUUGGGAAAGAAAAGCAGCAGGUUAAUACCCCGCUGUUCUGACGGUACCCAAAGAAUAAGCACCGGCUAACUUCGUG
rnacentral:rRNA from 1 species